GGACGAACGCUGGCGGCGUGCCUAAUACAUGCAAGUCGAACGAGUCCUCCCAAUUUGAUUUUAUGCUUGCAUAAAUGAUUUUUGGAUUCGGGACGAGUGGCGAACUGGUGAGUAACACGUGGGUAACCUGCCCUAAAGCAGGGGAUAACAUUUGGAAACAGAUGCUAAUACCGUAUAAUUAGUUGGAACCACAUGGUUCCAACUUGAAAGAUGGUUCUGCUAUCACUUUAGGAUGGACCCGCGGCGUAUUAGCUAGUUGGUGAGAUAAAAGCUCACCAAGGCGAUGAUACGUAGCCGACCUGAGAGGGUAAUCGGCCACAUUGGGACUGAGACACGGCCCAGACUCCUACGGGAGGCAGCAGUAGGGAAUCUUCCACAAUGGACGCAAGUCUGAUGGAGCAACGCCGCGUGAGUGAAGAAGGGUUUCGGCUCGUAAAACUCUGUUGUUAAAGAAGAACAAGUGUAAGAGUAACUGUUUACGCUUUGACGGUAUUUAACCAGAAAGCCACGGCUAACUACGUGCCAGCAGCCGCGGUAAUACGUAGGUGGCAAGCGUUGUCCGGAUUUAUUGGGCGUAAAGCGAGCGCAGGUGGUCUUUUAAGUCUGUUGUGAAAGCCCUCAGCUCAACUGAGGAAGUGCAGCGGAAACUAGGAGGCUUGAGUACAGAAGAGGAUAGUGGAACUCCAUGUGUAGCGGUGAAAUGCGUAGAUAUAUGGAAGAACACCAGUGGCGAAGGCGGCUAUCUGGUCUGUUACUGACACUGAGGCUCGAAAGCAUGGGUAGCGAACAGGAUUAGAUACCCUGGUAGUCCAUGCCGUAAACGAUGAAUACUAGGUGUUGGAGGGUUCCGCCUUUCAGUGCCGCAGCUAACGCAUUAAGUAUUCCGCCUGGGGAGUACGACCGCAAGGUUGAAACUCAAAGGAAUUGACGGGGGCCCGCACAAGUGGUGGAGCAUGUGGUUUAAUUCGAUGCUACGCGAAGAACCUUACCAGGUCUUGACAUCUUCUGCCAACCUAAGAGAUUAGGCGUUCCCUUCGGGGACAGAAUGACAGGUGGUGCAUGGUUGUCGUCAGCUCGUGUCGUGAGAUGUUGGGUUAAGUCCCGCAACGAGCGCAACCCUUAUUAUUAGUUGCCAGCAUUAAGUUGGGCACUCUAGUGAGACUGCCGGUGAUAAACCGGAGGAAGGUGGGGAUGACGUCAAAUCAUCAUGCCCCUUAUGACCUGGGCUACACACGUGCUACAAUGGAUGGUACAACGAGUCGCGAAACCGCGAGGUCAAGCUAAUCUCUUAAAGCCAUUCUCAGUUCGGAUUGCAGGCUGCAACUCGCCUGCAUGAAGUUGGAAUCACUAGUAAUCGUGGAUCAGCAUGCCACGGUGAAUACGUUCCCGGGCCUUGUACACACCGC
rnacentral:rRNA from 1 species